rnacentral:rRNA from 1 species
UACGUAGGGUCCGAGCGUUGUCCGGAAUUAUUGGGCGUAAAGAGCUCGUAGGCGGUUUGUCGCGUCUGCUGUGAAAUCCCGAGGCUCAACCUCGGGCCUGCAGUGGGUACGGGCAGACUGGAGUGCGGUAGGGGAGAAUGGAAUUCCUGGUUUAGCGGUGGAAUGCGCAGAUAUCAGGAGGAACACCGAUGGCGAAGGCAGUUCUCUGGGCCGUAACUGACGCUGAGGAGCGAAAGCGUGGGGAGCGAACAGG